GCUAUAAGGCUAAAAAUGUCGCGGGGGUAAACCGCGGAGAUGUUUGUAUGACGUCACAGCGAUGUGCAGACGUGAGCCACCGCACAUUGUCUUGAGCUGUUGAGUCUGCUCAUCGCGUGACCACGUUGUUGACGUGUGGUUUGCUGAGCCUGCUCAUCGCGUGACCAACAUUCCUAGACACCAUGCACAUCACCACCACGCGGACGCUCGGCAAAUCCCACAAUCUGUCAAAGCUUCCUUCCUUCUUUUCUCAACUGCUUGGUAACUGCAACGGAACUACGCAUGCGACCGACCUACGUUGUCGUCUGCUUCGCUGGUGGGUGAUAACUCGACGUGGCGGCGAUUAUGCGCAGAAAUUUGCUUCAGUGGAGAGAAUCUAACGAGGACAUAACGAGGACUGCGCUAAUAUAGGUUAACACAACAUCUCUGGUCAUCUACACGGAAAGCAUCCUCGUGCUUGUUGUCCACACGUGUUACAUCAGUUAAUUGUGUCCUACUGACCGAACUUCUUCUGGAGAUCGAGUAUCUCUUGCGGACAAUACUUCAAAAACGGAAAAGACUAGAAAAGCUGAUUAGAAUGACAGAUGAUUAACAACACGCGGUUCAUGACAUAAGAACAUAGUUGUCUGUGGAAUGACAUGUUGCUAAAAUUAGACUCGGUUACACAACAGCAUCCGUCUCGGAGAACGAGCCUUGUUCGUCUGGAUUACAUAAAAUAAUUAACGAGAGAUGCAAGCUCCUGUCUAUUUUGGUUUACAGAGUAAGCCGAUAACAUAUUUUAAAGUGCAUUCUCACGUGAAGAACUGAAUAAAAAAAAAAAAAAAAAAAAAAAAAACUGAUGCAUCGGUCCGAUGGCACAUCAAUCCUUCAGAGUGGGAGCUGAUCUCUGCGACUUUCCGACGACUCGCCGCUGACUUAGUUAUGGCAUACACACCUGGCCAGGUUGCUCCCGCCAUCGCCGGACAGAAAGGUGAGAGAUUACCUGGGGCCAGGCUGGCUUUUUUCAGCUUUUGUUGCCUCACUCGCACACGGCAGGCGGGAUCUCCAUCACCUGCUCCACACGCCACACGCCAGUGAGGAAGUGCCGAAGAGUUACCCUCUGAUUCAUAAACGGCAACAUUUUGUUGGACGGAUUCGUGGCUUCCCGCUGGUGGAGAUAACAUGUUGAGUGCCGGCAACUUUUGACAAAAAGCUCGUGGAAGUUGGAAGAUUAGCCCUGGAUCCUGGUGACUACGCAGCCUUUCAUGUUUUGUCUACAGUCUACACCACUGCCGGUGGUUUUGCAGGAGGGAGAGGCAAAGGUUGUGCACGUUGCUGGGGUGUCAACAUUAUCAACAGCUGCUGGCCGCAUGACCAACUGUUUGGUUAGGGAAUUAUGUAUGAUCUCAAAACUUUGGCUGGGUGGUCGCCGAGAUGUGGCGAAGGGAGAGGAAGGGUGAGAAGCAUGACCAAGCGAAUCUGAGGGGUUGAUGGUGGAGCUGGUAGAAGGAAGGCAGGAAGGGAGAAGUGGUUAAUGUGGUUAAUGGUGGAGCUGAUAGUUAUGAGAUGUGGAACUGUUGACUAAUAGUUCAGCUGCUUGUAAUUAGUAAUGAUUAAUGAGUGUAAGGAGCGGAGGUGGUGGGGAGAGUGGUGGAAGUGCGAGAUGAAUGGGC